AACCACGACGAACAUUACUUCCGAAAUUUCCCAAAACUGCAAAAAAAAAAAAAAUCUUCUCCGGCAGGUUUUUGGAGACAUUACCGGAGAACGGCGCCGUUUUUGUUCACCGGGAUUUUCCUAUAUCAAUCGUUGGCUCCUUCACUGCUUAAUGUUAUAGACUCAUCGCAACAAUCUUCUACUUGUGAUUGCAUCUCUCUGGGUGCACUAGGUUUUUGAGCUGGUGUUGUUGAAACAAUGGGUAGUUCAUUUAACGCUCAGAUAUUAGUUGAGAAGCUUGCCAAGCUCAACAAUACUCAAGCAAGCAUUGAGACUUUAUCACAUUGGUGUAUCUUUCACAUGAACAAGGCGAAACAUGUUGUAGAAACUUGGGGUAGACAAUUUCACUGUGCUCCGCGUGAUCAACGUGUGGCGUACCUGCACCUUGCGAAUGAUAUCUUGCAAAAUAGUAGGCGAAAGGGUUCUGAGUUUGUAGGUGAGUUCUGGAAAGUACUCCCUGAGGCUCUUCGUGAUGUGAUUGAAAAUGGUGAUGACUUUGGAAGAAAAUCUGCACGUCGAUUGGU